rnacentral:lncRNA from 1 species
CCCGUCCAGGGGUCCUUUACCUUUACCUUUCAGUAGUUUGUAUCCUGGGACGCGGAUGGCGCUGUGGUCUAAACCACAGAGCCUAGGGCUUGCCGAUCAGAAGGUCAGUGGUUCGAAUCCCCACGAAGGGGUGAGCUCCCGUUGCUCUGUCCCAGCUCCUGCCCACCUAGCAGUUCGAAAGCACAUCAAGUGCAAGUAGAAAAAUAGGUACCACUCCGGCAGGAAGGUAAACAGCGUUUCCGUGCGCUGCUCUGGUUCACCAGAAGCAGCUUAGUCAUGCUGGCCACAUGACCCAGAAGCUGUCUGCAGACAAACGCCGGCUCCCUCGGCCUAUAGAGCGAGAUGAGUGCGCAACCCCAGAGUCGUCCACGACUGGACUUAAUGGUCAGGGGUACCUUUACCUUAGUUUGUAUCCAGGCAUGACUAGACCUGUAGAGCUUCAGCAUUUAUUAAAUAAAUAUUUUUUAAGAAAAAUCCAAGGGGGCACAGGUUCACCAUCCCUGCUUUUUUUAAAAACAGCAACACAGUACCAUACUGAAAAAGCAGGAAUAUGAAACUUCUCAGCUGAUUUGAUAUGACCAUUCAAAUAAAGUGCGCUCUCGAGAUCUUUGUGACUCAGCCUUUGAGAUUCAAAAUAAACCAUCCAUCAUUAACACAACUGCACCUAAAUAUUUAUAGCUGACACCGAACCUCCGGCAUGAAACAGUUUGUUUCAUAAACAUUUCUAUUUUGAGCCAUUUGACUGGCCUUCUUUGGCUCCAUCAGUUUCAGAGAAUUCAAGUUCUACCUUCUUUGACAUCUAUCUCUGCCAUGCCCCAGAGAUGGCACAACAAGAUCAAGAAAUAAUAAAGCAUCUUUCUUUCUUCGAUUUUCUUCGAUUUGCAGAAAGCAAGAUCUGAGAAGCAGCUCGAAUGAUUUACCUCCUAUGUUGCCAACAGCAACGGUUCUUUUACUGGAUCCAAACGCAUUGGCCAAAACAAUGAGUGCAGGAUAGCAGGUGUUUAUUACAGCUGAAUUACAGACAAAAUAAGCAAUGCUUACACCCCUUUUGUCAAUGGGAACCCCUCAGAACAGCAAUGGGCAGACUCCUAUGGAUGCACUUUCAGUCUACAUGAUAUUUGUUGAGAGUUUCUGGAACAUGAAAGUUUUCACUGUGCUAUAGCCCCCUGCCAUGGUAAUUGCUUUAGGGUUGCCAUAUGUCCGGGGAAACUCGGACAUGUCCUCUUUUUUAAUAAUAAUAAUAAUAAUAAUAAUAAUAUUUUAUUUAUACUCCGCCCUUCCCGGUUCAGAAAACUGGGCUCAGGGCAGCUAACAACAAAUCUAAAAAUUGAUGCAACAAAAAACAGCAUAAAAUACAGUAUAAGACGUGAAUAAUAAUUUCAGAAUUCAAAAGUCAAUUUAGGGGGGAAAUCCAUCCAAUAACCAUUAGAUGAUCACCAGGGCUAGCUGGCUAAAUUAGUCCUAUUUGGGCCAGCGAGGAGACCAGGGGAGAAUUAGCUGUGGGAUCCCUGAGCGGGUAAUCUUCAUAAAAAGGGGAGGGGGAGGGAAGGAAGGGGAAUAAAAGAUCAGGCUAAGUUCAAAUUGAAAGCCAGGCAGAAUAGCUCUGCCUUACAGGCCCUGCAGAAGGAAGUUAAAUCCUGCAGGGCUCUGGUCUCAUGGGACAGAGCAUUCCACCAGGUGAGAGCCAUCACUGAGAAGGCCCUGGCCCUGUUGGAGGAUAAUCUGACUUCCUUAGGGCCUGGGACCUCUAAACUAUGAUUAUUCAUGGACCUUAAGAUCCUCUGCAGGGCAUACCAGGAGAAGCGGUCCCAUAAAUAUGAGGCCAGCAUGCCCAUCCCAGCAGAUAUUUACAUUUUAAAGGAUAUGUCCGGGUUUGCACACCACAGCCACUGCCAGCCCGAGUCAGGGAAAGAGGCAUGCAGGCACAGAGGCAGCAGCCCUGUGCACCCGCACCCACAUGCCUCUUCCCCCCAGGCUCGGGCUGGCAACAGCUCAGGCUGUCCCCUUCUUUGCUCUUUGAGAUAUGGCAGUCCAAAAUUGCUUCUGCCUGCUGAAAUGCCCAUCCAGUUUUGAACAACCAGUGAUCUUGGUUCACCCCUAUUUCAAAUACAGUCAUACCUUGGUUCUCGAACAGAAUGCGUUCCGGGAGUCGAUCGGACUGUUUGAAAACCAAGGUGUAGCUUUCGAUUGGCUGCAGGAGUGUCCUGCAGCCAAUCGGAAGCCGCAGAAGUCGUGCCAGAUGUUCAGCUUCCCAAAAUUGUUCAAAAACCGGAACACUCAUUUCCAGGUUUUGAUCGUUUGGGAGCCGAUUUCUUUGAGAGCCAUGGUGUUUGAGAUCCAAGGUAUGACUCUAGUUAAUAAUAAUAAUAAUAAUAAUAAUAAUUUAUUAUUUAUACCCUGCCCAUCUGGCUGGGUUUCCCCAGCCACUCUGGGCGGCUUCCAACAGAAAUAUUAAAAUACAAUAAUCUAUUAAACAUUAAAAGCUUCCCUAAACAGGGCUGCCUUUAGAUGUCUUCUAAAAGUUUGGUAGUUAUUUUUCUCUUUGACAUCUGGUGGGAGGGCGUUCCACAGGGCAGGUGCCACUACCGAGAAGGCCCUCUGCCUGGUUCCCUGUAACUUGAUAAUAUUAAUAUUUGACCCGCAAUUCUCAUGGCAAAAUAUUAACAUGAACCUAAAGGCUGACUCUGGAUCAAGAAAAACUCUGGACCCUGAAAAUGGUUGAGUUGCACCCCUUUCAAAAGAACUCGUCCAGGAGAGGUUCCAAUUGGGCACAACAUGAUUUAUUCUGUUAGCUUGACAAAAGCUCUCAUUAUUUCAAGGACUUUCGCUUCACGGUCCAGCAAAAGAACCAGUCCCUGUGAGGGCCAAUUCAUGAUCCAAUGCUUUAAAUUGGAUCAAUAGUUCAGACAAUUGCCGGCGUAACCCAAAGUCGGUUGUAGCAGUAGAGAAUGGCCUUCCAAUCUGUUGUCUGCGUCAAGCAGAAGUCCUCACAAUAAAAUCUUGAUGUUCUUUAUCUCAACAGUUGAGUUUGGUACAGAACCAGUAUGAAUCCUGGCAUGAGAACUGUAAUGUAACUUGUGGGCUGAGAGAGGAAAUAUCGCAUGCUGGAGUUGUGAAGAUAAUGUGUGAUCAUUAUUAGUAAUGCCAUUUUACAGGAAAAUGUCAAAGAGUAAAAUUUAGAAGCAUCUGCCUUCUAUCAUUAGGCAACAUGGAUACAAUUUGAUCCAAAGGCUUAUGCUAUUAUGUUUGUGCCUAUUUCAUAUCCGAUUAUAUUAGCAAUAUUUAAUUGUGUACAGUCGUACCUUGGAAGCUGAACGCCUUGCCACUCAAACAUUUUGGCUCCCGGACGCUGCAAACCCGGAAGUGAGUGUUCUGGUUUGCAAACGUUCUUUGGAACCUGAACGUCUGACAGGGUUUCCACGGCUUCCAAUUGGCUGCAGGAGCUUCCUGCAGCCAAUCAGAAGCCUUGCCUUGGUUUCUGAACAUUUUGGAAGUUGAACGGACUUCCAGAACAGAUUCUGUUUGACUUCCGAGGUACAACUGUACAGUGAAUGGGCGAUCAUCUUUGGGGCCAAGAACACCCCAGCUGCAAAGAUUCCUUGUGUGUUGCCUGUAUCUUCAACAUCCAUUUGCUCCCCCUGAUCCUACUGAAAAAGUACAUCAUGGUGCCUUUCCAAACUGUUGCUCCUAACUUUCUCCCAGACAGCCACUUGAGCAAUUCGCUUUUCUAACGUUGGAGGAGGCCUGCUGGAACAAUUCACUUUGCUAUGAGAAGAGACAGAUACAAACAAUAGCUUCAGACUUUGUUAUCUAUGGCUAAAGGUUUCCCAUUUCUUUCUGUCCAGCAUAAGCAACCGUAAUCCUGUUAAGACAGAGAGCGCUGCGCAGACGUCAGACUUCAUUGCAUUACUCACCUUGAUGCAUUGGUUACUUUAUGUGAAACUGAAUUUUUUGAUGUUACAAAUGAUGCGUUUUUCCAUUCAAAUUCAGGAUAGACGGAGAAGGCCACUUUAAGGAGGGUCUCUUUCUCUGGCCUAGGAAGAAAUUCAGAAAACAAUAUCCUGGCUGCUUGAAUACUUAGGCACUGCUUCUAUUGAUGUCUGGGUUUUAUAUUGCAAAAAAUAAAAUCUCUUCAACAUGAUGAAUGGAGAUAUCUCUGCCUUCAUUGAAAUGCAGCAAUACUUGGAUGCCUUUGCUUAAAUGUACAUUGUAAAAAAUGCAAAAAUCAAAUUUCUAGCAACUGCUGAAUUUCCCAGUCGCAUAGCACGGCCGAUUCUUUCUCUCUGAGCACACCAUGUAUCCUCAGUAAAGAAAAUGCCCUGUGCAUGCAGUCAUAAUAUGUGACAUAUUGUUGUGAUUUAAGCAAAUAUCGCCUUGAAAAUUUUGCUACCCCCUGCCUCAGAAACCUCUCCUAUGCCAGUCCCACUGAAAUGAGUAGGAAGAGAGAUGCCUUGAGCUGAAUGGCAAUGAGAAAAAUGGAAGGGCCUUUUAUCAAUACAAAAAUACUGGUAUGCAAUAGACUAUAAGGACUAAACUACAGUGGAACAGUCUCCUUCGGGAGGUUGCAGACUCUCCUUCAUUGGAUGUUUUUAACUGGAGGUUGGAUGGCCAACAGUCUUGGAUGCUUUGGCUGAGAUUCCUGCAUCGCACAGGUUUGGGUAAGAUGAUCUUUGGGGUCACUUCCAACUCUACAAUUAUAUGAGAAAAGGAAGGCAUUUGUAGCCUUCCCACAAUAGCUAGGCAUUGUGAUGUGGGCACUUCUUCACUAUGUUUCACCGCUUCUUUUUGUUUAUAGCGAGCCUAUUAGGCUUGGCAGCUCAUAAACC